rnacentral:rRNA from 1 species
UGAAGUUGACGGGGCCGCACAAGCGGUGGAGCAUGUGGUUUAAUUCGACGCAACGCGAAGAACCUUACCAGGGCUUGACAUCCCCUGACCGCGUAUGAAAGUACGUUUUCACCCUCGGGUGACAGGGAGACAGGUGGUGCAUGGUUGUCGUCAGCUCGUGUCGUGAGAUGUUGGGUUAAGUCCCGCAACGAGCGCAACCCCUACGUUUAGUUGCUAACGCGUGAAGGCGAGCACUCUAGACGAACUGCCGUUGACAAAACGGAGGAAGGUGGGAUGACGUCAAAUCAUCAUGCCCCUUAUGUUCUGGGCUACACACGUGCUACAAUGGCCGGUACAGACGGACGCAAAGCCGCGAGGCGGAGCAAAUCCGAAAAAGCCGGUCUCAGUUCGGAUUGCAGGCUGCAAUUCGCCUGCAUGAAGUCGGAAUCGCUAGUAAUCGCAGGUCAGCAUACUGCGGUGAAUACGUUCCCGGGCCUU